UACGGAGGAUGCAAGCGUUAUCCGGAAUUAUUGGGCGUAAAGCGUCCGCAGGUGGCUUUGUAAGUCUGCUGUUAAAGUGUGAGGCUCAACCUCAUAAGAGCAGUGGAAACUACAAGGCUAGAGUACGUUCGGGGCAGAGGGAAUUCCUGGUGUAGCGGUGAAAUGCGUAGAGAUCAGGAAGAACACCGGUGGCGAAAGCGCUCUGCUAGGCCGUAACUGACACUGAGGGACGAAAGCUAGGGGAGCGAAUGGG
rnacentral:rRNA from 1 species